AUUGAACGCUGGCGGCAGGCCUAACACAUGCAAGUCGAACGAGUGGCGGACGGGUGAGUAAUGUCUGGGAAACUGCCCGAUGGCGGGGGAUAACUACUGGAAAAAGUAGCUAAUACCGCAUACCAUCAGAUGUGCCCAGAUGGGAUUCGCUUGUUGGUGGGGUAACGGCUCACCAAGGCGACGCUCCCUAGCUGGUCUGAGAGGAUGACCAGCCACACUGGAACUGAGACACGGUCCAGACUCCUACGGGAGGCAGCAGUGGGGAAUAUUGCACAAUGGGCGAAAGCCUGAUGCAGCCAUGCCGCGUGUAUGAAGAAGGCCUUCGGGUUGUAAAGUACUUUCGGCGGGGAGGCGUUACCUGCAGAAUAAGCACCGGCUAACUCCGUGCCAGCCGCCGCGGUAAUUC
rnacentral:rRNA from 1 species